rnacentral:rRNA from 1 species
CACGUAGGGUGCGAGCGUUGUCCGGAAUUAUUGGGCGUAAAGAGCUCGUAGGCGGUGUGUCGCGUCGGCCGUGAAAACCUGCAGCUUAACUGUGGGCUUGCGGUCGAUACGGGGCAUCACUGGAGUUCGGCAGGGGAGACUGGAAUUCCUGGUGUAGCGGUGAAAUGCGCAGAUAUCAGGAGGGAACACCGGUGGCGAAGGCGGGUCUCUGGGCCGAUACUGACGCUGGAGGAGCGAAAAGCCGUGGGGAGCGAACAGG